rnacentral:rRNA from 1 species
AUUGAACGCUGGCGGCAGGCCUAACACAUGCAAGUCGAACGAGCGGCGGACGGGUGAGUAAUGUAUGGGAACUUCCCCAUUGAGGGGGGUAACUUAUGGAAAAGGGUGCCAAUACCGCCUACUAUCGGAUGCACCCAUAUGGGAUUUGCUAGUUGGGGGGGUAAAGGCUCACCAAGGCGACGAGCGCUAGGUGGUCUGAGAGGAUGAUCAGCCACACUGGGACUGAGACACGGCCCAGACUCCUACGGGAGGCAGCAGUAGGGAAUCUUGGACAAUGGGCGAAAGUCUGACCGAGCAACGCCGCGUGAGUGAAGAAGGUUUUCGGAUCGUAAAACACUGUUGUCAGAGACGGUAUCUAAACAGAAAGCACCGGCUAACUACGUGCCAGCAGCCGCGGUAAUUC